AAUUAGUAUUCCUAUCGCCCCUGUUAUCAAGGCGUUAUUGUUUUGAGUUUUGACCUGCUCAUUAUCUUAUCUGAGCAUUUCCGCAUAUCUUGGUAUUUUUGUUCAUUGUUCAUAUAUAUAGAUACAUUCAAAUACAAGCUACCCAUCACUCCCUCAUCACACUGAUCUGGCAUAAGUCUCUCUAGAAACCCUAGCCGUCGACCUCUACCACAGGUGAUUACAUCAUCUUGACAAAAAACUCAGCCUUUGGCCUUCUGCUACGUCGCCGAUUGCCGCUUUGCCUCAACCACCAUCAUUGUUCACCACUGCAUACAUACUCAAUCAUCUGGUCGAUUAUCUCUCUACACCCAACAAUCUGUUUGUUGCCUGUUCCACUCAAUCAAGAUUUUUUAGGUCAAAAUCAACCUUCAGAAUUGCACACAUUCAACCAAACGAUUACGACUUUUAUGGGAGUUGAAAGGGAGAACGAUCAAACAGAUGGAGACAUGUUUUCUACUUUCGAUCCCAUUGCCGCCCCAGGAAGAACAGGCGAGUCAUUUUUUUUUAAAUCAAAACUUAUCAUAUCGUGAUUUGGAGAGAAACGUAGACAAAAUCAUCUGCUUGAACAACUUCACUAGCGGGGCAACAUCAUCUCUUCAAUUUGAUUAUUGAAAAUGAACCUUCGUGAUUUAAGGAUAGAUGUAUUUUUUUGAAAUUUCUUUAUCUUCAUCUAUUUAUCCCACCGUGUUUCUAUUUGGUUCAAACAUUAGCAUCCAUUGGAAGAUGCUUGGCAUUGAAAUUUCUUAACACCACCGUGAAUCGAAGCCUAAUCGAAGUUGCUACCACCACCUUCAACGCCAAUUAACGCAACCACCACUACCACCUCUACCCUCAUCCUUUUCUCUUCCAUAUUUUAUCAGUCGAUGUCGAAGGUAAGCAAUUGUUCUGUCUUUCUUUCACUCCCAACACCGAUAUUAAGGUAAGCAAUUGCUCACAUCUAUCUUGUAUUUUUUCCUGGAGCAUACGUACAAAGAGAUUUGUCAACACCAAAGAUCUUAGCCUACACAGAGCUUCAUGGAUAGUGGCAGCAGCUGAAACCCCCAAGAUUAUAUUGAAAGAUGCUUCUCAAAGGGUCAAAAAUCAAGGUUAUGGACACACUUUGAAGUGAAAUAUGGAGUUUGGCACACACAAAGUUAUGGACACUCCAAAACUGAAAAAAAAAUCAACUAAACUCAAGGACCAUUUUUUAAUAUACUCAAAAUUCCCUAAUCUAUACUCCCGAUUCUUGAAUUUGGGUUUCAUGUCAGCAUCCUCUCCAUCAUGUUCACCAGGACCAGAUUUGUGUGUGAUCUGAUCUGUAUGAAUGUAUGAAAUCUAAAGGAUUUUCUUGGUUGGUUGGUCAGCUGGUGAGAGACCAAGGGAGUACUGAAUUUGAAUAGUUCCACAAUGUACCACCACGAGCUGGAUCUUCUUAGAAUUGUUUAGCAAAACAUCCGAAUACUUGUAUGUGACAUAGGUGUCGGCAAUUGUAGUUUGUUCCAAAUACAUGUGUGUGACAUAGUUUAUAAUUAGGAAUUUGUAACUCCAUUUAGUUUGAAUUUUAAUUUUAACAGAGGGCUUGCAAAUUUUACUUUCAAA